AUUGAACGCUGGCGGCAUGCCUUACACAUGCAAGUCGAACGGUAACAGGUCUUCGGAUGCUGACGAGUGGCGAACGGGUGAGUAGUACAUCGGAACGUGCCCGAGAGUGGGGGAUAACGAGGCGAAAGCUUUGCUAAUACCGCAUACGAUCUCAGGAUGAAAGCAGGGGACCGCAAGGCCUUGCGCUCACGGAGCGGCCGAUGGCAGAUUAGGUAGUUGGUGGGAUAAAAGCUUACCAAGCCGACGAUCCGUAGCUGGUCUGAGAGGACGACCAGCCACACUGGGACUGAGACACGGCCCAGACUCCUACGGGAGGCAGCAGUGGGGAAUUUUGGACAAUGGGCGCAAGCCUGAUCCAGCCAUGCCGCGUGCAGGAUGAAGGCCUUCGGGUUGUAAACUGCUUUUGUACGGAACGAAAAGACUCUGGUUAAUACCUGGGGUCCAUGACGGUACCGUAAGAAUAAGCACCGGCUAAUUACAUGCCAGCAGCCGCCGUAACAC
rnacentral:rRNA from 1 species